AUUGAACGCUGGCGGCAUGCCUUACACAUGCAAGUCGAACGGCAGCACGGGGCAACCUGGUGGCGAGUGGCGAACGGGUGAGUAAUGCAUCGGAACGUACCUUUCAGUGGGGGAUAACGUAGCGAAAGUUACGCUAAUACCGCAUACUCUGUGAGCAGGAAAGCAGGGGAUCGCAAGACCUUGCGCUGAUUGAGCGGCCGAUGUCAGAUUAGCUAGUUGGUGAGGUAAAGGCUCACCAAGGCGACGAUCUGUAGCGGGUCUGAGAGGAUGAUCCGCCACACUGGAACUGAGACACGGUCCAGACUCCCACGGAAGGCAGCAGUGGGGAAUCUUGGACAAUGGGGGCAACCCUGAUCCAGCCAUGCCGCGUGAGUGAAGAAGGCCUUCGGGUUGUAAAGCUCUUUCGGCCGGGAAGAAAUCGCACGGGCUAAUACCCUGUGUGGAUGACGGUACCGGAAUAAGAAGCACCGGCUAACUACGUGCCAGCCGCCGCAGUAA
rnacentral:rRNA from 1 species